rnacentral:rRNA from 1 species
AAGUCGUAACAAGGUUUCCGUAGGUGAACCUGCGGAAGGAUCAUUACCGAGUGAGGGUCUUCAUGGCCCAACCUCCCAACCCUUGUGUUUAACUAUACCACGUUGCUUCGGCGGGCCCGUCUCCCCUGUGGGAGACCGCCGGACCCCUCCCCGGGUCUGGCCCGUGCCCGUCGGUGGCCCAACCUUUAACUCUUGAUGAACUGUGUCGUCUAAGUCUUAAAUGUUAAUCAAAACAAAACUUUCAACAACGGAUCUCUUGGUUCUGGCAUCGAUGAAGAACGCAGCGAAAUGCGAUAAGUAAUGCGAAUUGCAGAAUUUCCGUGAGUCAUCGAAUCUUUGAACGCACAUUGCGCCCUUUGGUAUUCCGAAGGGCAUGCCUGUUCGAGCGUCAUUAUCACCUCUCAAGCCCGGCUUGUUGUUGGACGUCUGGCCGUGUGAGCGGCCCGUCUCAAAGAUAAUGACGGCGUCUGUGGGACCCUCGGUACACUGAGCUUCUUCCAAAGCACGUAUCGAGUCUUCGGCUCCACAGGCCCGGUCGUUUUUACCUAUAUUUCUUUCUAGGUUGACCUCGAAUCAGGUAGGGAUACCCGCUGAACUUAA